rnacentral:misc_RNA from 1 species
GAAAUGCGAUACGUGAUGUGAAUUGCAGACUCGUGAAUCAUCGAAUCUUUGAACGCAAAUGGCGCUCGGCCGCUUCGGUGUGCCGAGCAUGUCUGUUUGAGGGUCAGUUUAAUCUGCUUUGUCCUCGCCACACUUCAAAACUGAACUGUGUGGGGGGGGAAACAAGACGAUGCGUGUUCACUCUUCCUGGCACUAGUGAUCAUGUGAAACGGAUAUAACUGCGAAAACUUCGGGCGAACGUUCCGGGGUCCCGACCUUUUUAUAAAUAAACGGGACCAAACGGAAGCAUCACCGUGAUUUUCAUCAUUUUUUUUAAAACAAUGACCUCAAAUCAGGCAAGAGCACCCGCUGAACUUAA